AACGUAGGAGGCGAGCGUUAUCCGGAGUUACUGGGCGUAAAGCGCGUGUAGGUGGUUGGAUACGUCUGCUGUGAAAUGUCCCGGCUUAACCGGGAGGGUGCGGCAGAUACGGUCUGACUUGAGGGUGACAGAGGAGCGUAGAAUUCCGGGUGAGUGGUGAAAUGCGUAGAUAUCCGGAGGAACACCGGUGGCGAAGGCGGCUUCCUGGACCGACACUGACGCUGAGGCGCGAAAGCUAGGGGGAGCAAACGGGG
rnacentral:rRNA from 1 species